AGCCAUAAAAAGUCAUGUGUGAUGGUCACGAAGGUGGUUUCCCCAGGGCUAGGCUUUUCCAUUGCAUUCUGACUGUGCCGACCCCUGCGAUUUCGCCCAAACGUGAGGAGCUCCACAACAUAAUUUGUGGUGGUGGGGGGGGACUGAGUUCUCCCUUG
rnacentral:snRNA from 1 species